UCGUCGUCGGCCCUUCGCCGUCGUCGGACGCGAGUUUAGGAAGGGGCAGAGGCUUUCCGUUUUCCCCUCGUUUCACCGUUUCGGAGCCUUGGUCUCUGAACGCGCUCCAAAGAGCUGGUGGGAGACGCCCUCGCAUGGCUCCGGCCACCGGGCGGUAGGGAGGCGUGACGGUGGCAGGGCUUCUAGCCUUGGAACCCUAGCAGAAAAGGGAUUCUCCCUUUUAUUUUUUGUUUUUUUU
rnacentral:lncRNA from 1 species